UACGCAGGGGGCUAGCGUUGUCCGGAAUCAUUGGGCGUAAAGCGCGUGUAGGCGGUCCGGUAAGUCCGCUGUGAAAGUCGAGGGCUCAACCCUCGAAUGCCGGUGGAUACUGUCGGGCUAGAGUACGGAAGAGGCGAGUGGAAUUCCUGGUGUAGCGGUGAAAUGCGCAGAUAUCAGGAGGAACACCAAUUGCGAAGGCAGCUCGCUGGGACGUUACUGACGCUGAGACGCGAAAGCGUGGGGAGCAAACAGG
rnacentral:rRNA from 1 species